rnacentral:misc_RNA from 1 species
UAAUAAGUGUUUUAUGGCACUUUUUAAAUCCAUAUCCACCUUGUGUGCAAUGUCAGUCGAUCUUCUUUUAUGGAGGAUCGACCAAACAUCAACCUUUAUCUUUUAACUCUUUGUCUGAAAAAUAUUAUGAAUAAACGAUUCAAAAUA